rnacentral:rRNA from 1 species
GACGAACGCUGGCGGCGUGCCUAACACAUGCAAGUCGAGCGAGGAAUGACUGGUAGCUUGCUACCGGUUAUUUCUAGCGGCGGACGGGUGAGUAACGCGUGAGCAACCUGCCUUUAUCAGGGGGAUAACGCAUCGAAAGAUGUGCUAAUACCGCGUAAGACCACAGCCUCACAUGGGGCAGGGGUCAAAGGAGCAAUCCGGAUAAAGAUGGGCUCGCGUCCGAUUAGCUAGUUGGUGAGAUAACAGCCCACCAAGGCGACGAUCGGUAGCCGACCUGAGAGGGUGAUCGGCCACAUUGGAACUGAGAGACGGUCCAGACUCCUACGGGAGGCAGCAGUGGGGAAUAUUGGGCAAUGGGCGAAAGCCUGACCCAGCAACGCCGCGUGAGGGAAGAAGGGUUUCGGCUCGUAAACCUCUGUCCUAUGGG